rnacentral:rRNA from 1 species
UACGUAGGGUGCGAGCGUUGUCCGGAAUUAUUGGGCGUAAAGAGCUCGUAGGCGGUGUGUCACGUCGGCCGUGAAAACCCGGAGCUCAACUCCGGGCCUGCAGUCGAUACGGGCAAACUGGAGUGUUGCAGGGGAGACUGGAAUUCCUGGUGUAGCGGUGAAAUGCGCAGAUAUCAGGAGGAACACCGGUGGCGAAGGCGGGUCUCUGGGCAACAACUGACGCUGAGGAGCGAAAGCGUGGGGAGCGAACAGG